rnacentral:rRNA from 1 species
GACGAACGCUGGCGGCGUGCUUAACACAUGCAAGUCGAACGACGAAGCCCAGCUUGCUGGGUGGAUUAGUGGCGAACGGGUGAGUAACACGUGGGCAACCUGCCCCAAACUCUGGGAUAACUCCUCGAAAGAGGUGCUAAUACCGGAUACGAACUAGGUAGACAUCUGCACUAGUUGGAAAGUUUUUCGGUUUGGGAUGGGCCCGCGGCCUAUCAGCUUGUUGGUGAGGUAACGGCUCACCAAGGCUACGACGGGUAACCGGCCUGAGAGGGCGACCGGUCACACUGGGACUGAGACACGGCCCAGACUCCUACGGGAGGCAGCAGUGGGGAACAUUGCGCAAUGGGCGAAAGCCUGACGCAGCGACGCCGCGUGAGGGAUGAAGGUCUUCGGAUCGUAAACCUCUUUCAGUAGGGACGAAGCGAAAGUGACGGUACCUAAAGAAGAAGCACCGGCUAACUACGUGCCAGCCGCCGCAGUAA